GCUGAUAUGGCUCAGUUGGUAGAGCGCACCCUUGGUAUGGGUGAGGUCCCCAGUUCGACUCUGGGUAUCAGCACCA
rnacentral:tRNA from 1 species